rnacentral:rRNA from 1 species
GGAGUCUGGUCCGUGUCUCAGUACCAGUGUGGGGGACCUUCCUCUCAGAACCCCUACCGAUCGAUGGCACGGUGGGCCGUUACCCCGCCGUCUGCCUAAUCGGACGCAUCCCCAUCCGCAAGCAAUAAAUCUUUAACCCUCUUCAGAUGUCAUCAAAGGGCCACAUAGGGCAUUAAUCCGAAUUUCUCCGGGCUAUUCCCUACUUGCAGGCAGGUUGGAUACGCGUUACUCACCCGUGCGCCGGUCGCCAUCAAAGGAAGCAAGCUUCCUUCAUGCUGCCCCACGACUUGCAUGUGUUAGGCACGCCGCCAGCGUUCAUC